rnacentral:rRNA from 1 species
GACGAACCGUGCGAACGUUGUUCGGAUUCACUGGGCUUAAAGGGCGCGUAGGCGGUACGCCAAGUCUGGGGUGAAAUCUUUCGGCUCAACCGGAAAAUUGCCUGGGAUACUGGCGUGCUCGAGGGAGGUAGGGGCAGCGGGAACUGCCAGUGGAGCGGUGAAAUGCGUUGAUAUUGGCAGGAACGCCGGUGGCGAAAGCGCGCUGCUGGACCUCUUCUGACGCUGAGGCGCGAAAGCUAGGGGAGCAAACGGG